rnacentral:rRNA from 1 species
UACGUAGGGGGCUAGCGUUGUCCGGAAUCAUUGGGCGUAAAGAGCGUGUAGGCGGCCCGGUAAGUCCGCUGUGAAAGUCGGGGGCUCAACCCUCGAAUGCCGGUGGAUACUGUCGGGCUAGAGUGCGGAAGAGGCGAGUGGAAUUCCUGGUGAUAGCGGUGAAAUGACGCAGAUAUCGAGAGGAACACCUGCGGCGAAGGCGGGUUGCUGGGCUGACACUGACGCUGAUGCGCGAAAGCUAGGGGAGCAAACGGG